rnacentral:rRNA from 1 species
CCUACGAGUGGCAGCAGUGGGGAAUAUUGCACAAUGGGGGAAACCCUGAUGCAGCGACGCCGCGUGAGCGAUGAAGUAUUUCGGUAUGUAAAGCUCUAUCAGCAGGGAAGAAGAUGACGGUACCUGACUAAGAAGCCCCGUCUAACUACGUGCCAGCAGCCGCGGUAAUACGUAGGGGGCAAGCGUUAUCCGGAUUUACUGGGUGUAAAGGGAGCGUAGACGGCGAUGCAGGCCCGAUGGGAAAGCCCGGGGCUCAACCCCGGGACUGCAUUUGGAACUGGGUGGCUGGAGUGUCGGAGAGGCAGGCGGAAUUCCUAGUGUAGCGGUGAAAUGCGUAGAUAUUAGGAGGAACACCAGUGGCGAAGGCGGCCUGCUGGACGAUGACUGACGUUGAGGCACGAAAGCGUGGGGAGCAAACAGGAUUAGAUACCCUAGUAGUC